CCUAGUCCGGGUCCUGCGGUUAAUGCGCCUUCAACCUGCUCUGGUCCGUGCAUCCCUACUCUCCUCUCACCCGCACCGCACCUCUUCCCCCAGCGUGCUCCCACAGAAAUGAAGGGCCCGUCCGCCGCGGGCAGAUGUAAGUGCCUUGGAUCCUGGGUCAGCCUGCCUUCCCUCCCCCGUGGAGGCCAUCCGGCCUUGGCGGUGUGCUUCGCUUCCCAGUAACCCUUCCACGGUCUGCUGUGGCGUCCUGCACGGGCUGGCUCCGGGGCUGGGCCCUGCUGCCCCUUGGGAGAAGCGUGACUGCCGGGCCAGGCCCGGAGACCAGCCCUCAGGACCAGGGACAGCGGCGGCACCAGGGGCCUUUGGGGUGUUGGGCCCAUAAGAAGCUCUCCCCAGAUGGGUCCUCUUUGGGGCCUGGUACCUUUCCUCCUUCUGAAACAGCUCCCUCAGCUGUGAACUCUUCGAGGAAGCCCACCCUGACUUUCCUAGGUCCUGCGGGGCUCCCCUAGUUGGAAACCACCGUUCCCCGAGAUCGGUGAACUCUGCCCAGCACCGCACAUUUCCUCUCUCCACCUGGAAGGUGUAGUUCGCACAGGCGGCAGAAACUGUGAAGGGGCCUGUUCCCUAGUUCAGCAUCUGUCUAGAGCUCUAGGUCAGAGUGAUUAUUCCUACUUCCCACUUAAAGUGACAGUGGUUCAGAGAGAACAUUGCCUGGGAUAUAAAUACCUCCUGACCCUCCACCCUGCAGAAGCAGUGGGUAGAGGUUGGGCUGCCCCCUCCCAGGAGAGGGGGAAAUCAGGCUGAGGUCCCAACCUUCCACUUUUCUGAAACAAACUAAAACCUGAGUUUUUAUGUGAAAUCUCCUGAUACUCAAAUAUUGAUAACCAAAUUAAAAUAAAACAUGUCAACACAG